UAUUAAAUAGCCUAACUAAUUAAUGGAAUGUUUUUGUUCCGACGCUGCUGUACUGAUGAUCCAUGACUACUGAAGGGACAGCCUCAGAGCAGCAGAUAAGCCAGUCUGAUCCUGCUGGUGAACCGAGCAGGCAUGGAGAGGCCAGGACUACAGAGACAGAGGCCGCUAGAGGGCGCGAGCAGCUAAAACGGACAUAUCGCGAGAUUUGGGUCUGAAUAAAAGCUCAGCGGAACUCUCGUCAAGCCUUCUUCUUCCUGAAUACA